UGGGGAAUUUUGGACAAUGGGCGAAAGCCUGAUCCAGCAAUGCCGCGUGCAGGAUGAAGGCCUUCGGGUUGUAAACUGCUUUUGUACGGAACGAAAAAGCUCCUUCUAAUACAGGGGGCCCAUGACGGUACCGUAAGAAUAAGCACCGGCUAACUACGUGCCAGCAGCCGCGGUAAUACGUAGGGUGCGAGCGUUAAUCGGAAUUACUGGGCGUAAAGCGUGCGCAGGCGGUUAUGUAAGACAGAUGUGAAAUCCCCGGGCUCAACCUGGGAACUGCAUUUGUGACUGCAUGGCUAGAGUACGGUAGAGGGGGAUGGAAUUCCGCGUGUAGCAGUGAAAUGCGUAGAUAUGCGGAGGAACACCGAUGGCGAAGGCAAUCCCCUGGACCUGUACUGACGCUCAUGCACGAAAGCGUGGGGAGCAAACAGGAUUAGAUACCCUGGUAGUCCACGCCCUAAACGAUG
rnacentral:rRNA from 1 species